rnacentral:lncRNA from 1 species
AAAAACGGGAAAAUACCGGACAAUUAAGCACAAUUCCCUGAUUAAUUCUAGCACAAUAAACUAAGUGAAGUCGAUAAAAUAUCGAUUCAUCAAAAUAGACCACACUUAGUCUUUUGCACUCCUGGGCAAAACCAAGACGAAAACCAGGGAACAGUCAACGGACAUCAUGGAAUUGACACAGACUCAGCAGACAGACAACAAAGACUAACAGGGAUAGAAACAAACAGACUUACACAAUUCUCAAGAAAUCUGGACAGAGAUAAGAAGUGGACAGUAUCCCACACAAAGUCAAAGAAAACAGAUACUCAGAGAAAUCAUCCAAGCAAUUCCAAGCAUCGCAAAAUAAUCAAUCAGUUCAAGAGGUGAAUCAAAAGCAACAGAACCUCACAAAUGCACACUAUCAGUGUUUCUCUCAAGUGUCUAAGGUAAAUCAAUGUCACUCAAUGCACUCAAGAAAGCAAACACAAAUANACUUGGCAAGCCUCUAAAAUCAACACUCAAAGACAUAUGCAUGUUCAAAUCAAAAGGUCUUUUAUGGGUGAAAUGGGGCCAAGGAAAAGGGAGGAUAUAAUAUGGAUCAAAAGCUACAAACCAAAAGAAAUAGAGGAGCAAUGGGGAACAAGUGUAAACACAGUCAAAUAACACCCAAACCCUCUAAUUCAAUCCUCUUCUUGACUCCAUUGUUCACAAUUUUUUUUUUNN